UACGAGGGGGGCGAGCGUUGUUCGGAAUUAUUGGGCGUAAAGGGUGCGUAGGCGGUUUGGUAAGUCUGAUGUGAAAUCUAUGGGCUCAACUCAUAGUCUGCAUCGGAAACUGCCGGGCUUGAGUGUGGGAGAGGUGAGUGGAAUUCCCGGUGGAGCGGUGAAAUGCGUUGAUAUCGGGAGGAACUCCGGCGGCGAAAGCGGUGCACUGGUGGAUUACUGACGCUGAGGUGCGAAAGCCAGGGGAGCAAACGGG
rnacentral:rRNA from 1 species